rnacentral:rRNA from 1 species
GACGAACGCUGGCGGCGUGCUUAACACAUGCAAGUCGAACGGAAAGGCCCUGCUUUUGUGGGGGGCUCGAGUGGCGAACGGGUGAGUAACACGUGAGUAACCUGCCCUUGACUUUGGGAUAACUUCAGGAAACUGGGGCUAAUACCGGAUAGGAGCUCCUGCUGCAUGGUGGGGGUUGGAAAGUUUCGGCGGUUGGGGAUGGACUCGCGGCUUAUCAGCUUGUUGGUGGGGUAGUGGCUUACCAAGGCUUUGACGGGUAGCCGGCCUGAGAGGGUGACCGGCGACCUUGGGACUGAGAUACGGCGCAGACGCCUACGGGAGGCAGCAGUGGGGAAUAUUGCACAAUGGGCGGAAGCCUGAUGCAGCAACGCCGCGUGCGUGAUGACGGCCUUCGGGUUGUAAACCGCUUUCGCCUGUGACGAAGCGUGAGUGACGGUAAUGGGUAAAGAAGCACCGGCUAACUACGUG